AGUGAACGCUGGCGGCAGGCCUAAUACAUGCAAGUCGAACGGAGGUAGGGGCAACUCUACUUCAGUGGCGGACGGGUGCGUAACGCGUACAGAACGUACCUUUGGGCGGGGGAUAGCAUUGGGAAACUGGUGGUAAUACCCCAUGGUAUUUUGGGUUGGCAUCGACCUGGAAUUAAAGUUUCGGCGCCCAAAGAUCGCUGUGCGUCCGAUUAGCUAGUUGGCGGGGUAACGGCCCACCAAGGCGACGAUCGGUAGGGGGUCUGAGAGGAUGAUCCCCCACACUGGUACUGAGACACGGACCAGACUCCUACGGGAGGCAGCAGUAAGGAAUAUUGGACAAUGGUCGCAAGACUGAUCCAGCCAUGCCGCGUGCAGGAUGAACGAUCUAUGAUCUGUAAACUGCUUUUGUUCGGGAAUAAACCCCUUCACGUGUGGAGGGCUGAAUGUACCGAAAGAUAAGGGUCGGCUAACUUCGUG
rnacentral:rRNA from 1 species